CAGUCGCCGCGGUAAUACGUAGGGUGCGAGCGUUAAUCGGAAUUACUGGGCGUAAAGCGUGCGCAGGCGGUUUUGUAAGACAGGCGUGAAAUCCCCGGGCUCAACCUGGGAAUGGCGCUUGUGACUGCAAAGCUAGAGUGCGGCAGAGGGAGAUGGAAUUCCGCGUGUAGCAGUGAAAUGCGUAGAUAUGCGGAGGAACACCGAUGGCGAAGACAAUCCCCUGGGCCUGCACUGACGCUCAUGCACGAAAGCUAGGGGAGCAAAUGGGAUUAGAUACCCGUGUAGUCCCUGUCUCUUAUAC
rnacentral:rRNA from 1 species